GUGGGGAAUCUUGCGCAAUGGGCGAAAGCCUGACGCAGCAACGCCGCGUGCGGGAUGACGGCCUUCAAGGUUGUAAACCGCUUUCAGCAGGGACGAAAAUGACGGUACCUGCAGAAGAAGCCCCGGCUAACUACGUGCCAGCAGCCGCGGUAAUACGUAGGGGGCAAGCGUUGUCCGGAUUCAUUGGGCGUAACGAGCUCGUCGCCGGUUCAGUAAGUCGGGUGUGAAAGCUCCGAGCUCAACUCGGAGAGGCCACCCGAUACUGCUGGGACUUGAGUACAGUAGGGGAGCGUGGAAUUCCUGGUGUAGCGGUGAAAUGCGCAGAUAGCAGGAGGAACACCAGCGGCGAAGGCGGCGCUCUGGGCUGUAACUGACGCUGAGGAGCGAAAGUGUGGGUAGCAAACAGGAUUAGAAACCCGAGUAGUCC
rnacentral:rRNA from 1 species